rnacentral:tRNA from 1 species
GUUGUAGAAUAGUGGUAGAGUGCUUGCCUAGCACACAUGAGGCCCUGGGUUUGAUCCUCAGCACAACA